rnacentral:lncRNA from 1 species
GAGUUGGAAAAUGUUAAAUUGUUUUAAUUGUUAAAAUAAGAAAAAAUAAAUAAAUAAACACCAUACGAAAGUACAGACAUGUGAGAUAGUUGCAGGAUCCCUACUCCUUGGUUGAUGCACAACAUCUUCCAAUUGAUCCGUUUCUUCACUAGGAGCAUCUGUUUCCAUCUUGUCAUCUUAUGAAGGCAAAUCCACAAUCAUGGUUGAUCUAGAAUCUAGACAUCUGCAGGUAUCUGACCUAACUUCAAUGCCUGACCAAGAUAUUAGUAGACAAAUUACAUCCAGGAAAAUAUAAAGUAGAGAAGAUGAAAAUCAUACAGACAUACCCAGGAUAGAAACAAAAACUUGAAGGUAGUAGAUAUAUUUUCAUAACUUACAAGUUCUUCUAGAGUUUGAGUUUACAAUUGCAGCCUGCAGAUAGAUACUGGAAAUCAUGUGAACAUUCAAGAAAGAUAACAAUAAUAAUUAUCAAUUCUAAGAUCUAUCAUGGGAAUUCAAAAAAUAAUCAAUACAUAUAACUAGAACUUCUUCUUCCUCUGAUAAACCUAUGAGACUUUUAACAUUUAUAAUUGAUAAUUGCUCUAGUGUGGAGUGAACAACUAUUGGUGGCUGGUCUUCCUUAGGAUCCUCUGGAACAUUAAGAAGCUCUCUUGGUGUGAAUGCCUUCACAAGUUCUUUUUUCGUAUUCUCUUCUGCUUCUUUUAAUGGGAAUAAGUUUUCUUCUUCAACUCUCCCCUAUCAUCAGCAGAAACAUGAUACAGAUUAGUUUAUUCAUAAAACAGGAAGCCAUUAACAAUUAAACAUGAUUAAAUAACAAUAACAUUUUAGAUACCCGUUAAUAACACAAGAGAUAAUAACACAAGAGGUACCACAAUCAGGACAACAUACACAAAAUGACAAAAUCAUUAGAAAAAAAGAAAAAAGAAGAGACAAGUUACAUCAAUGGAAUUAUCAAAAAAGUCUACAUUUGAAAUGGUGGUGGCUAGCUUUAUUCAGAGAGUUAUUGACAUAACAUUUCUUGUGCAUGACUGCAUGAGUUGUUUCGUUUUAGCAGGUACAAUUUCAUUAAUGAGGCAUGUUGAAAGCAUACCAUUCUUUACAUAGUGAAACAUGAAACCAACAAAAACAUUUGGUUUAGACUAAUCAAUGUGUACCUGCUAGUCCACCUUUAGAGUCUGAAGUCACCUGCCAAAGAAUUGUUUUACCAGGUGCAAUAAAGGAUAUAACAUUUGCCAAACCUGCCAUAUAGACCCUAUUACCAAUAAGACUGCAUUGCAAUCCAAAGUCAUAUUCCUAUGUCAAUCUUCAAGAGCUCACCUCCAAACUAUCUUUAUUCUGUAAUAUCUGAACAUUGGUUCCGGAUUUCAUACUCGUCCUUGUAACAACCUUACCACAAAUUAGCAUCUUUAACAACCUUAUAAAAUAAGUUGUAAUACUAAUUUGGAAAAACAGGCAAUUAGAAUUUACAUACAAAAAUUAUACACUGGCACAUUAAGUGUUUGAUCAACCACCAAGAAUCAGUUAUAAAAAAAUAAAAAAAAUAAAAACCAAGAGGCGUUCAAAUUUUCAGUCCAUUAAUUUGAAUAGCAGAAAAAAAGACAGUGAGAUGAUAUUUUGUUAAUUAGAUUGUGACUACAUCAAUUUCAGCUUACCAUACAUUUCAGCACAAACUUCUAAACAUGUCUUAACAUAUGUCUGCCAUAGAUUCUUACUCGCCUAACAGUGCACGUAGUACCAGGUACGACAACACUAUAAAGUAUAAACAACCAAACUUAAUAACAUAUGCCUAAAAACUUUACUGGAAAAUUUGGAUCAAAUUAAAGUCAUGCAUAGAUCAAUUUCAAAAAAUAAAUGCAACUUACCAAAAUCUCUUUCUACUUCUCUCCAAACAAAAGUUUCACUUGCUUUUAACCUCAUUUGUAUAAACAAAAAUUCUUAAAGCAACCAUUAUUAAAACUUUCAAUCAAAGCCCUAAUUUCCAAAUCCCGAAAUUCUAAAAUUGAAUUAAAACAACCUUCAGUAAACUAAAACCAAAACCACAAGUUAUGUAUUAUUUGCUUGAUGUGAAACUCCAGAGAGAGAGAGAGCACUUAUUUAUAUUGAAUCCCGUUAGAUCUUUAAAGAAAACAAGAGAUUAGGAAGAUUGAUGUUGUGUGUGUGAGAGAGAGCGAACCUGUAAUUCGAUCGACCUACCAUGGUGGAAGUAAUUAAUCAAUACCUAGAAGCAUACUGAGAACUGGUUGAAGAAAGGACUGGGGUGUUGAACUCUUGUGAUAUUAUUGAGAAGUGUGUCAGUUAAGGUGGGACUUAAC